CCUUUAGGCAUAUCUUUGUUUCCUAGUAAGUCAUCACAUGGGUACAGAUAGCUCAGAGGCCCUUGAGAUAAACACGCAAAGCAAUUCAGAGCUGACACUCGACCGGGGAGUGUCAACUGGGGAUGUUCCGAGCAUAGAGCAUCAGACAGUCUGCCAAAGACACCAUUUUGUUGUUGUUGUUGUUGCUGCUGUUGUUGUUUUGUUUUAGGAAUACACAUUCACCUACUUUGUGCCAGGUCAAGGAACUAGGGCAAAAGGAACUCUGGCAAUUCCAGUUAAGCACUUCUCCCUGUGAGAAGAGCAAUGGAAAGUUUAACUGUGCUGGGCUUCUGGAUAUCAUGUCCCAGCCUUGAGAAACACAGAAACAGAGCUUGAGACCUGCUAUGCAGGUUCCCUGUCACCCUGCCUUAUACUCACACUGAGGCUAUACCAGCCAUGACUCAGCAUCCUGUGGACCCUUGAGGAAGCCCACAGCUGGGGAGAGGAGUCAUGUGGAUGAAGGAAGAUUCCAAGAUUGAACAGCAAUGGCAGCAGAGAGCUGUUUGGCAAAGGAAACCAAGCCAAGGAUACCACAUGACUUUACAGAAUCCCAAUGAUGCUGGCUUCCCAGUGGAUAAGUCAGUUUCAGGAAAGCUGGCUCAUGUGGCUGAAGGUUGAGGAUCUGGGGAGCUGCUUGACCAUGUGAACUCUGCGCUGAAGCAUCGUCAUCGUCCCAUCAACUCUGACUGGUUCUCCCAGGUCCCGUAGUUACGGUUCUGUGAAUCACAUCCAUUCCAACGAAGCAGAACACAACAGCUGCAUUGUCAGUAAUCAGAGUUUAAGGGUAGUAACUUGGCCUUGAACAUGGAGUCCAGCCUCUCGGGUCAACCUUCCUAUGCUAUGACCUUUUAAUAGGGCUCCUCAUAGUGUGGUGAUCACAACCAUAAAAUUAGUUUUGUUGCUACUUCAUAACUGUCAUUUUGCUACUGUUAUGGAUCAUACUAUAUAUGUCUGUUGUGCAGGAUGGUCCUAGGCAUCCCCUGUGAAAAGUCAGAUUGAUCCCUAAAUGUGUCACAACCCGCAGGCUGAGAACCACUGCUCUUGGGCAAUGUUCCCGAGUGAAGGCUGGAUUUCUGACUUCUAAUCUAUCCAUGUUGGAGAAUAUCAAGAGGGCAAGGUAGAGGCAAGAGCCAGCAGACCCAAGAGUUUGUCCAAAUGCUCUAGUAGGUUCUCCUGUCUCAGAAUUAAAGCAGAGAUGGAUAGGAGAUGACAGUGAAACAAAAGAGAAAGUACCCCCACAAAGCUAGUACAGAGACCUGUGGAUACAGCAUAGUAAGAGCUAGCGAAUCAACUAAGCAUUUUCUUUAAAUUUUGUUUGACAGAAUUUGAGCAGAAAAAUUGGGCAAUUUGCUGUUGCUAUAUUCUUUUUAGCUCAGUGUUUCUUAUCAUUUUCAUCACCAGUUUAUUUUUAUAGUAGAAAGCACAUAAAAAUGUUCAAGUCUCAGAGUGAGAAUGCUCAGAGAAGAGGAGUUUGAGCCCCACUUGAACAGGUGUCUUGCAAUGCCUUGGUGAUGAUUUGUCUAAGUUUUACCCAAACUCCUGGCAGGAGAUUCUUAGACAAAAUUUAAGAAUGCCAAGAGUUCACUCAUAGGAUGAUGGCAAGAACUGAAUUCCCAUCACUUCAUGGGGAGUCACUAAGGCAACUUAUGCUGUUGUAUGCCUGGCCUGGUGACAACAUUCCUGAGUUUUGCUUUAGGGUCCCUAUAUAUGAUAGGCUUACUCCCGGUGUGGUUGACAUUUAAGGAAAAGCUUUAUCCUAAGAGGGGCAAUGCUCUUGGUCUUCUUAAAGUCCUAUGCCCAGGAUCUCAGCAAGUCUUUUGUAGAUUAAAUUAAAUGGACUGAAUUGGUGUAGCAUCAGCCAGGUUCCAAUUAAAGUCAUAGCUGUCUGCUGAGAAACAGCCUCGGCUCUGGGGAGAGAUGCUGACUCAUAUAAUGAUAGUUCUCUAGGGCCAGUGGGCAUUUUCAAUCCUUUUAAGGAUUAGUUUCACCAACCAGUUUUAGAAUGUCCAAAGUCAAUGUUGGAAUUCUUCACUGAAGCCCACUGAACACUGCCAGUUCUCCAGAAGUGAGCAAGUUGCUGUGUCGCCACAUGUUCCCUAUCUCUACAUAUUUUGGAUCAUUCUCCAGCUGUGUCAGAGGCUUCUGGAAGGCAAGAAUCUAUUUCUCAUAGGCUUUUGUACUUACUUUUGUACUUACCAAGAGCAACCUUUACAUUUUUAUUCAAUUGAUAUUAUCCAGAUAAGAUGAAAACAAGACAACUCAAAAUCCCACCUGGAGCCAGGUGUGGUGGCGCAUGCCUUUAAUCCCAGCACUCAGGAGGCAGACACAGGCAG
rnacentral:lncRNA from 1 species